rnacentral:rRNA from 1 species
AGAGCGAACGCUGGCGGCAGGCCUAACACAUGCAAGUCGAGCGCCCGUAGCAAUACGGGAGCGGCAGACGGGAUAGUAACACGUGGGAACGCGCCCUUCGGUUCGGAAUAACUCAGGGAAACUUGAGCUAAUACCGAAUACGCCCUUACGGGGAAAGAUUUAUUGCCGAAGGAACGGCCCGCGUCCGAUUAGCUAGUUGGUGAGGUAAUGGCUCACCAAGGCUACGAUCGGUAGCUGGUCUGAGAGGAUGACCAGCAUCACUGGGACUGAGACACGGCCCAGACUCCUACGGGAGGCAGCAGUGGGGAAUAUUGGACAAUGGGCGCAAAGCCUGAUCCAGCCAUGCCGCGUGGAUGAUGAAGGCCUUAGGGUUGUAAAGUCCUUUUAACGGGGAAGAUAAUGACGGUACCCGUAGAAUAAGCCCGGCUAACUUCGUGCCAGCAGCCGC